rnacentral:lncRNA from 1 species
UUUCUUUUUAGUAUAACUUUUCGCUCGUUUAUCGGAAUCAGGCGAUUCAAGCGCCUAGAGUUUUGUCUCGAAACCCUCUAUUCGUUUAAUCAACUUAAACAAGUUUUUGCUACUGUCAAAUUUGCUCUAGAUCCAGAUUAGUAGAACAAAGUUGUUUUCUUUCGCCGUUUGACUUUCGUUGCUUCGUUCGAUUUGAUUCUUUUUGCAAACCGGAGUUCUUAAGUUGAACCUUCUGGUUAGAUCUCUUAUUUGAGUUUUACCCGUGCAUUAGAUGAGUACUUAUUGUAUGCUUGUUUGUUUGUUUGCGAUAGAGUACCCGGAGUGCGCCGCUUGUUACUUCGAAUCGCUAGGUUUCCCGGAUCAUCAGCAAGGCAAGUAACACUUUGAUCAUACCUUUCCUACUACCCAGUUUUAUUGCAUUAGAUCAAUCCUCACACAUUGCAUGAUUAGGAUCUAAUUAAAUUGUGGGAUGGGAAGUAGUUGAGGUAGUACCUAUUACCUGUUUAUUAUCAAACCUUUGGGAGUUACUUCUACGUUUGCUUAUUAUGCCAUGCUAUGCUAGUAGACGUGGAUUGGGUGAGUGAUAUCCAUGACAGAUAUGAGUUUGUUAAUUAAUGAUUUAUCUAAGGUGGCAACUUAAACACACAUCUGGGUGGAUUGAGGCACCUGGGUAUUCCAGGACUUGCCUGUUUUCUUUUGGACCGCCACCCAGGCUCAAAGGGAUCAUGAGACUAUUCAUACUAGAAACUUCCGUGUGCAGCCACAAGCUAUUAUGGGCUCUAGCAUAGUUGACUAAGUCGUGCGAACUCUUACAGUGGUAGACUAGCAGAUGUAGGGGAUGUAGGUGGUACGGUCUACCCAAUCAUAAUGUGCUAGUGCUUCUGAAAGACUAUGUCUUGGUCAUCCGUCUUCUCAAACACCAUGUAGUGCGAGAAACCAAACGGAGGCGAUCGAGUCUUGUGGGGAAAAGUGCACAAACCUCUGCAGAGUGUAAUAAACUAAUCAUGGUUAGCCGUGUCCACGGUUAUGGACAUCUUGAGUAUCUAGUACCUGGAUUAUCAUGUGAAUCUCAACAUGUUACCCUAAAUUAAUUUUGUUGGGCUUGUUUAAUGAUGAUGCUUAAUUGGGAUUGAGAAUGCUGUCAACCAUUCUCAAUGUUUAACAACCACCAUGAUAGUAAAUAAAUUUAUUCCUUUUAAGUAGGGAAAAAUUGGCUUUACACAAAACUGUAACCAUAGAGCUUUCCACCAGCCAAAUAUGCAUAUAGUAUAGCUGUUUCAUUCCAUUAUUCUCUAUGUGUUACCUUGCCAGCAUAUUCCAUGUGCUGACCCGUUUCGGGCUGCAACGUUAAUGUUGCAGACUUUUCAGACGACGAUUAAGGAGUUUUUAGGUCGUGGUUCUAUACUCAGUGAUGUCGUUGGAGUUGAUGGACUCACUUAUCUUCCAAGCCUUCCGCUGUUAUCGUUAUUAGAUGGCCUUAAGCCAUAUUUAUUGUAAUAGUUCUCUAUGGAGACACUCAAUGUAAUAAGUGUGUGAUUGCUACUCUAUUAUAAAUCCUCUGAGUAUUGUGGGGUGUCAGCAUUACUGAUCCAGGGAUGACACCGGAGCACAGAGAUCAGACUGUUUAAGGUCUGGUCGCUACACCGAACCUCGUAGGUCAACCAGAGUACGUUCCGCACCAAAGUGGUACGGUAAUCCUGUUCUGGGGGUCAUGUUACUUGACCAUGACGAACCUACGAACUAUGAGGAAGCAAUGAUGAGCCCAGAUUCCGCAAAAUGGCUUGAGGCCAUGAAAUCUGAGAUGGGAUCCAUGUAUAAAGAACAAAGUAUGGACUUCGAUUGACUUGCCCGAUGAUCGGCGAGUCAUUGAGAAUAAAUGGAUCUUCAAGAAGAAGACAGACGCUUAUAGUAGUGUUACUAUCUACAAAGCUCAAAUUGUCGCAAAAGGUUUUCGACAAGUUCAAGGUGUUGACUACGAUGAGAUUUUCUCACUCGUAUCGAUGCUUAAAAGUCUAUCCAAAUCAUGUUAGUAGUUGUCGCAUUUUAUGAAAUCUGGCAAAUGGAUAUCAAAACUACAUUCCUUAAUGGGUUUAUUAAAAAAGAGUUAUAUAUGAUGCAACUAGAAGGUUUUUUCAAUCCUAAAGAUGUUAACAAAGUGUGCAAGCUCCAGCGAUCCAUCUAUGGACUGGUGCAAGCAUCUCAGAGUUGGAAUAUGCGCUUUGAUGAGUUGAUCAAAGCAUAUAGUUUUAUAUAGACUUUUGGAGAAGCUUGUAUUUACAAGAAAGUGAGUGCGAGCUCUGUAGCAUUUCUGAUAUUAUAUGUGGAUGACAUAUUGUUGAUCGGAAAAUGAUACUGAAUUUCUGGAUAGCAUAAAAGGAUACUUGAAUAAGAAUUUUUCAAUGAAAGACCUCGGUAAAGCUGCUUACAUAUUGGGCAUCAAGAUCUAUAGAGAUAGAUCAAGACGUUUGAUAAAUUUUUCAAUGAGUACAUACCUUAACAAGUUUUGGAAGUAGUUCAAAAUGGAAUAGUCAAAGAAGGAGUUCUUGACUGUGUUGCAAGGUGUGAAGUUGAGUAAAGACUCAAAACCCGACCACAGCAGAAAAGAGAAAGAGAAUGAAAAUGUCAUUCCCUAUGCCUCAGUUAUAGGUUCUAUAAAGUAUGAUAUGUUGUUUACCAGACCUAUUGUAUACCUUAGCAUGAUUUUGGCAAGGGAGUACAAUAGUGAUCUAGGAGUAUAUCACUGGACAGCGGUCAAAAUUAUCCUUAGAGGACUAAGGAAAUAUUUCUCAGUUAUGGAGGUGAUAAAAGAGUUUGUCGUAAAGAGUUACGUCGGUGUAAGCUUUUGACACCGAUCUAGAUGACUCUAUGUCUUGAUCUAGAUACAUAUUGAAAGUGGGAGCAAUUAGCUAGAGUAGCUCCGUGCAAACUAUUGUAGACAUAGAAAUUUGCAAAAUACAUACGGAUCUGAAUGUUGCAGACCCGUAGACUAAACUUCUCUCACAAGCAAAACAUGGUCACUCUUUGGGUGUUAAUCACAUAGCAAUGUGAACUAGAUUAUUGACUCUAGUAAUCCCUUUGUGUAUUAGUCACAUGGAGAUGUGAACUAAUCAGAUAAAGAUGUGAACUAGAUUAUUGACUCUAGUGCAAGUGGGAGACUGAAGGAAAUAUGCCCUAGAGGCAAUAAUAAAGUUUUUAUUUAUAUUUACUUAUAUCCUGAUAAAUGUUUGUUAUUCAUGCUAGAAUUUUAUUAACCGGAAACUUAAUACAUGUGUGAAUACAUAGACAAACAGAGUGUCACUAGUAUGCCUCUACUUGACUAGCUCGUUAAUCAAAGAUGGUUAAGUUUCCUAGCCAUAGACAUGAGUUGUCAUUUGAUGAACGGGAUCACAUCAUUAGAGAAUGAUGUGAUUGACUUGACCCAUCCGUUAGCUUAGCACUAUGAUCGUUUAGUUUAUUGCUAUUGCUUUAUCCAUAACUUAUACAUGUUCCUAUGACUAUGAGAUUAUGCAACUCCUGAAUACCGGAGGAACACUUAGUGUGCUAUCAAAUGUCACAACGUAACUGGGUGAUUAUAAAGAUGCUCUAUAGGUGUCUCCGAUGGUGUUUGUUGAGUUGGCAUAGAUCAAGAUUAUGAUUUGUCACUCUGAUUGUCGGAGAGGUAUCUCUGGGUCCUCUUAACAAUGCACAUCACUAUAAGACUUGCAAGCAAUGUGACUAAUGAGUUAGUUACGGAAUGAUGCAUUACAGAAUGAGUAAAGAGACUUGCCGGUAAUGAGAUUGAACUAGGUAUGAGGAUACCGAUGAUCGAAUCUCGGGCAAGUAACAUACCGAUGACAAAGGGAACAACGUAUGUUGUUAUGCGGUUUGACCGAUAAAGAUCUUCGUAGAAUAUGUAGGAGCCAAUAUGAGCAUCCAGGUUCCGCUAUUGUUUAUUGACCGGAGAUGUGUCUCGGUCAUAUCUACAUAGUUCUCGAACCCGUAGGGUCUGCACGCUUAAUGUUUGAUGACGAUUUGUAUUAUGAGUUAUGUGAUUUGGUGUACCGAAGGUUGUUCGGAGUCCCGGAUCAGAUCAAGGACAUGACGAGGAGUCUCGAAAUGGUCAAGACGUAAAGGUCGAUAUAUUGGAAAGCUAUAUUCAGACACCGGAAAGGUUCUGAGUGAUUCGGGUAUUUUUUGGAGUACCGGAGAGUUACGAGAAUUCGCCGGAGGAAGUAGUGGGCCUUAAUGGGCCAUACGAGAAAGGAGAAAGGGCCUCAAGGGGUGGCCACGCGCCCCCCAUGGGCUGGUCCGAACUGGACUAGGGAAGGGGAGGUGCCCCCCUCUUUCCUUCUCCCUCUCCUCUCCUUCCUUCUUCUCCUACAUGGACUUGGAAAGGGGGAAACCUACUCCUACUAGGAGUAGGAAUCCCCCCUUUGGGCGCGCCCCUUGAGGCCGGCCCUCCUCCUCCUCCCCUCCUUUAUAUACAGGGGAGGGGCACCCCAUAGACACACAAGUUGAUUUCUUAGCCGUGUGCGGUGCCCCCCUCCACAGAUUUCCACCUCGGUCAUAUUGUCGUAGUGCUUAGGUGAAGCCCUGCGUCGGUAACUUCAUGAUCACCUUCACCACGCCGUCGUGCUGACGAAACUCUCCCUCGCCCUCAGCUGGAUCUAGAGUUCGAGGGAUGUCAUCGAGCUAAACAUGUGCAGAUCGCGGAGGUGCCGUGCAUUUGGUACUUUAUCGGUUGGAUCAUGAAGACGUUCAACUACAUCAACCGCGUUACUAAACGCUUCCGCUUUCGGUCUACAAGGGUACAUAGACACACUCUCCCCACUCGUUGCUAUGCAUCUCCUAGAUAGAUAUUGUGUGAUCAUAGGAUUUUUUGAAAUACUACAUUCCCAACAAUUAACUGGGCCACACUCUUCUUCUUAAUCAAUGGAAAUGGCAAAUCUCUUGCCUCGUUUCAAAAAAGAAAAAAACUCUUCGGACCAGCUCCGGUAAACAUUUUUCACCUAGAUCCUGAAACCUGGGGGGAUGAUGAGAAACUAACAGCUGAUGACAAUGAAUUUUUGACUAGACCUUUUAGUGAGGAGGAGGUUAAGAAUGCCUUGUUCUCCAUGGACAGCAAUAGAGCCCCUGGCCCGAACAAUAUUCCAGCAGAAUUCUAUCGAUUUUGUUGGGAUAUUGUCAAACAGGAUAUUGUGAAUCUGUUUGUGGCAUUUCAUGAAGGCUCCCUAGACGUAGGGAGACUGGAUUAUGGGACUAUUACCCUGAUUCCUGAAGUUAAUGGAGCUAAAAAAACCAAGAAUUUCGACCCAUUUGUUUGUUGCAUUGCCCUUAUAAACUCAUCACCAAAGUGUUAGAUAAUAGAGUGGCGAUGUUUGCUGACAUGCUCAUCAGCCGGCACCAAAAUGCGUUUAUCAAAAAACAUGACAUCAUGGAUGGGAUCCUGACAUUACAUGAUGUACUGCACCAUACACAAGUUAAGAAAAAAGUUGGGGUUGUCCGGAAGCUUAAUUUUGAAAAGGCGUACGAUAAGGUGAAUUGGGAUUUCCUUUUAGAGUGCCAUAGAAUGAGAGGCUUCAGUGAUAAGUGGUGCAAUUGGAUCAGCCAGAUCCUCCGGAAUGGCGCAGUUAGUGUCAAGAUUAAUAAUUCUGUGGGACCCUACUUUCAAAGUUGUAAGGGGGUUCGGCAAGGAGACUCCAUAUCCCAUUUUCUCUUUAAUUUGGCGACUGAAUCCCUUCCUAAAAUGAUCCUCAAUGCCUAGAAAAAUGAUUUGUUUAAAGGGUUGGCAGCAGAUCUCAUUCCCAAUGGGAUUGCCGUUUUACAAUACGCAGAUGACACGGUUCUCUGCAAUGAGGAUGAUAUUGACAAAGCGAUCAAUCUUAAGCUUUUGUUAUAUUUGUUCGAACUUAUGUCUGGCUUGAAAAUUAACUUCCUAAAAAGUGAGGUGCUCUGUGUAGGAGGGGAUGACACUGUCCUUCAAAAGUGUGCUGAUCUGUUUGGGUGCCAGAUAGGGCACUUUGCUAUGAUAUGCCUAGGAGUGCCGAUUAGUUACUCUUCUCUGAAGAACUCUAACUGGGAGUAUGUUGUUGUUUGGUAUAUUAAAUGUUGUGACUCCUGGAUUGGAAACUCCGCCUCUUCUGGUAGGAGAUUAACCCUGUUGAAUUCAUCCCUUUCGAGCAUCACAUACUACUAUAUGUCGAUGUUCCUGCUUUCUAAAACUUUUAUCGAGAGACUUGAUAAAUAUCGUCGCAAUUUUUUUGGUGUGGUAGGAUGGGUAAGAAACGCUACUAUCAGGUUAAAUGGACAAGGGUGUGUCACUCCAAGAACAAAUGAGGGCUGGGUGUGAAAGAUCUUCACAAAUAGAAUAUCUCUCUCUUAGCAAAAUGGUGAUGGAAAUUGGAUACAGGGAGGGCUUUGGCAAGAUGUGGUGAGAGCAAAAUUGAAGGAAAUAUGCCCUAGAGGCAAUAAUAAAGUUAUUAUUUAUUUCCUUACAUCAUGAUAAAUGUUUAUUAUUCAUGCUAGAAUUGUAUUAACCGGAGACGUAAUACUUGUGUGAAUACAUAGACAAACAAAGUGUCACUAGUAUGCCUCUACUUGACUAGCUUGUUAAUCGAAGAUGGUUAUGUUUCCUAACCAUAGACAUGAGUUGUCAUUUGAUUAACGGGAUCACAUCAUUAGGAGAAUGAUGUGAUUGACAUGACCCAUUCCAUUAGCUUAGCACCCGAUCAUUUAGUAUGUUGCUAUUGCUUUCUUCAUGACUUAUACAUGUUCCUAUGACUAUGAGAUUAUGCAACUCCCGUUUACCGGAGGAACACUUUGUGUGCUACCAAACGUCUCAACAUAACUGGGUGAUUAUAAAGGUGCUCUACAGGUGUCUCCAAAGGUACAUAUUGGGUUGGCGUAUUUCGAGAUUAGGAUUUGUCGCUCCGAUUGUCGGAGAAGUAUCUCUGGGCCCUCUCGAUAAUACACAUCACUUAAGCCUUGCAAGCCUUGCAAGCAAUGCAACUAAUAAGUUAGUUGCAAGAUGAUGUAUUAUGGAACGAGUAAAGAGACUUGCCGGUAACGAGAUUGAACUAGGUAUUGAGAUACCGACGAUCGAAUCUCGGGCAAGUAACAUACCGAUGACAAAGGGAACAACGUAUGUUGUUAUGCGGUCUGACCGAUAAAGAUCUUCGUAGAAUAUGUAGGAGCCAAUAUGAGCAUCCAGGUUCCGCUAUUGGUUAUUGACCGGAGACGUGUCUCAGUCAUGUCUACAUUGUUCUCGAACCCGUAGGGUCCGCACGCUUAAUGUUACGAUGACAGUUUCAUUAUGAGUUUAUAUAUUUUGAUGUACCGAAGGUUGUUCGGAGCCCCGGAUGUGAUCACGGACUUGACGAGGAGUCUCGAAAAUGUCGAGACAUAAAGAUCGAUAUACUGGAUGACUAUAUUUGGACACCGGAAAGGUUUCGGGUAAGAUUGGGACAAUACCAGAUCACCGGGAGGUUAUCGGAACCCCCCGGGAGGUAUAUGGGCCUUAUUGGGCCUUAGUGGAAAGGAGGGGAAAGGAUCAAGGGAGGGGGCGCCCCCCCCCCCAAGCCCAAUCCAAAUUGGGAAGGGGGUCGGCCCCCCUUUCCUUCCUCCCUCCUUCCUCUUCCUUCCCUCUCCUACUCCUAAUAGGAAAAAAGGGGAGUCCUACUCCCGGUGGGAGUUGGACUCCCCCCCUUGGGCACGCCACCCUCCUUGGCCGGCCCCUCCUCCACUCCUUUAUAUACGAGGGCAGGGGGCACCCCAGAGACACAACAAUUGAUCAUUGAUCUCUUAGCCGUGUGCGGUGCCCCCUCCACCAUAAUCCUCGAUAAUAUUUUAGCGGUGCUCAGGCGAAGCCCUGCGACGGUAGAACAUCAAGAUCGUCACCACGCCAUCGUGCUGACGGAACUCAUCCCUGACACUUUGCUGGAUCGGUCAUCGAGAUGAACGUGUGCAAAAACUCGGAGGUGUCGUAGUUUCGGUGCUUGAUCGGUCGGGCCGUGAAGACGUACGACUACAUCAACCGCGUUGUUAUAACGCUUCCGCUUCUGGUCUACGAGGGUACGUAGACAACACUCUCCCCUCUCGUUGUUGUGCAUCACCAUGAUCUUGCAUGUGCGUAGGAAUUUUUUUUGAAAUUACUACGUUCCCCAACAGUGGCAUCCGAGCCUAGGUUUUAUGCGUUGAUGCAAUAUGCACGAGUAGAACACAAGUGAGUUGUGGGCGAUAUAAGUCAUACUGCUUACCAGCAUGUCACACUUUGGUUCGCCGGUAUUGUUGGAUGAAGUGGCCCGGACCGACAUUACGCGUACGCUUACGCGAGACUGGUUCUACCGACGUGCUUUGCACACAGGUGGCUGCCGGGUGUCAGUUUCUCCAACUUUAGUUGAACCGAGUGUGGCUACACCCGGUCCUUGCGAAGGUUAAAACAGCACCAACUUGACAAACUAUCGUUGUGGUUUUGAUGCGUAGGUAAGAGCGGUUCUUGCUAAGCCCGUAGCAGCCACGUAAAACUUGCAACGACAAAGUAGAGGACGUCUAACUUGUUUUUGCAGGGCAUGUUGUGAUGUGAUAUGGUCAAGACGUGAUGAGAUAUAAGUUGUUGUAUAAGAUGAUCAUGUUUUGUUGAAGUUAUCGGCAACUGGCAGAAGCUUUAUGGUUGUCUCUUUAUUGCAUAAGAUGCAAGCGCCAAAUAAUUGCUUUACUUUAUCGCUAUGCGAUAGCAAUAGUUGCAAGAGCAAUAGUUGGCGAGACGACCAUGUGAUGACACAUUGAUAUACAUCAAGAUGAUGGAGAUCAUGGUGUCAUGCCGGUGACGAUGGAAAUCAUGAUGAUGUUUUGGAUAUGGAGAUCAAAGGCACAAGAUGAUGAUGGCCAUAUCAUGUCACAUAUUUUGAUUGCAUGUGAUGUUUAUCUUUUAUGCAUCUUAUUUUGCUUAGUUCGACGGUAGCUUUAUAAGAUGAUCUCUCACUAAAUUUCAAGAUAAAAAGUGUUCUCCCUGAGUAUGCACCGUUGCCAAAGUUCGUCGUGCCCAGACACCACGUGAUGAUCGGGUGUGAUAAGCUCUACGUCCAUCUACAAUGGGUGCAAGCCAGUUUUGCACACACAGAAUACUCAGGUUAAACUUGACGAGCCUAGCAUAUGCAGAUAUGGCCUCGGAACACUGAGACUGAAAGGUCGAGCGUGAAUCAUAUAGUAGAUAUGAUCAACAUAGUGAUGUUCACCAUUGAAAACUACUCCAUUUCACGUGAUGAUCGGUUAUGGUUUAGUUGAUUUGGAUCACGUGAUCACUUAGAUGAUUAGAGGGAUGUCUAUCUAAGUGGGAGUUCUUAAGUAAUAUGAUUAAUUGAACUUUAAUUUAUCAUGAACUUAGUCCUGGUAGUAUUAGCAUAUCUAUGUUGUAGAUCAAUAGCUCGCGAUGUUGCUCCCCGUUUAAUCUUUAUAUGUUCCUAGAGAAAACUAAGUUGAAAAAUGUUAGUAGCAAUGAUGCGGAUUGGAUCCGUGAUCUGAGGAUUUCCUCAUUGCUGCACAGAAUAAUUAUGUCCUUGAUGCACCGCUAGGUGACAAACCUAUUGCAGGAGCAGAUGCAUAUGUUAUGAACGUUUGGCUAGCUCAAUAUGAUGACUAGUUGAUAGUUUAGUGCACCAUGCUUAAACGGCUUAGAAUCGGGACUUCAAAGAUGUUUUGAACGUCAUGGACCAUAUGAGAUGUUCCAGGAGUUGCAGUUAAUAUUUUAAGCAAAUACCCGAGUUGAGAGAUAUGAAGUCUCCAACAAGUUCUAUAGCUAAAAGAUGGAGGAGAAUAGCUCAAGCAGUGAGCAUGUGCUCAGAUUGUCUGGGUACUAUAAUCGCUUGAAUCAAGUGGAAGUUAAUCUUCCAGAUAAAAUAGUGAUUGACAGAACUCUCUAGUCACCAUCACCAAGUUAGUAGAACUUCAUGAUGAACUCUAGUAUGCCAGGGAUAACAAAAACAAUUCCCAAGCUCUUCGUGAUGCUGAAAUCGAUGAAGGUAGAAAUCAAGAAAAGCAUCAAGUGUUGAUGGUUGACAAGACCACUAGUUUCAAGAAAAGGGCAAAGGGAAGAAGGGGAACUUCAAGAAGAACGGCAAGCAAGUUGCUACUCAAUUGAAGAAUCCCAAGUCUGUACCUAAGCCUGAGACUAAGUGCUUCUACUGCAAAGGGACUGGUCACUGGAAGCGGAACUGCCCCAAGUAUUUGGCGGAUAAGAAGGAUGGCAAAGUGAACAAAGGUAUAUUUGAUAUACAGAUUAUUGAUGUGUAUUUUACUAGUGUUCGUAGCAACCCCUCGGUAUUUGAUACUGGUUCAGUUGCUAAGAGUAGUAACUCGAAACGGGAGUUGCAGAAUGAACAGAGACUAGUUAAGGGUGAAGUGACGAUGUGUGUUGGAAGUGGCUCCAAGAUUGAUAUGAUCAUCAUCGCACACUCCCUAUACUUUCGGGAUUAGUGUUGAACCUAAAUAAGUGUUAUUUGGUGUUUGCGUUGAGCAUAAAUAUGAUUGGAUCAUGUUUAUUGCAAUACGGUUAUUCAUGUAAGUUAGAGAAUAAUUGUUGUUCUGUUUACAUGAAUAAAACCUUCUAUGGUCAUACACCCAAUGAAAAUGGUUUGUUGGAUCUCGAUCGUGGUAAUACACAUUUUCGUAAUAUUGAAGCCAAAAGAUGCAAAGUUAAUAAUGAUAGUGCAACUUAUUUGUGGCACUGCCAUUUAGGUCAUAUUGGUGUAAAGCACAUGAAGAAAUUCCAUGCUGAUGGGCUUUUGGAAUCACUUGAUUAUGAAUCAGUUGAUUCUUGCGAACCAUGCCUCAUGGGCAAGAUGACUAAGACUCCGUUCUCCGGAACAAUGGAGCGAGCAACAGAUUUGUUGGAAAUCAUACAUACUGAUGUACGUGGUCCGAUGAAUAUUGAGGCUCGUGACAGGUAUCAUUAUUUUCUGAUCUUCACAGAUGAUUUGAGCAGAUAUGAGUAUAUCUAUUUGAUAAAACACAAGUCUGAAAUAUUUGAAAAGUUCAAAGAAUUUCAGAGUGAAGUGGAGAAUCAUCGUAACAAAAAUAAAAAUUUCCACGAUAUGAUCGCAGAAGUAAAAUAUUUGAGUUACGAGUUUGGCCUUCAGUUAAAACAAUGUGAAAUAGUUUCACUACUCACGCCACCUGGAACACCACAGUGUAAUGGUGUGUCCGAACGUCGUAACCGUGCUUUAUUAGAUAUGGUGCGAUCUAUGAUGUCUCUUACUAAUUUACCACUAUCGUUUUGGGGUUAUGCAUUAGUGACAGCUACAUUCACGUUAAAUAGGGCACCAUCUAAAUCCGUUGAGAUGACACCGUAUGAACUAUGGUUUGGCAAGAAACCUAAGCUGCCAUUUCUUAAAGCUUGAGGUUGCAAUUCUUAUGUGAAAAAGUUUCAACUUGAUAAGCUCAAACCCAAAUUGGAGAAGUGUGUCUUCAUAGGAUACCCAAAAGAAAAUGUUGGGUACGCCUUCUAUCACAGAUCCGAAGGCAAGAUAUUCGUUGCUGAGGAUGGAUCCUUUCUAGAGAAGGAGUUUCUCUCGAAAGAAGUGAGUGGGAGGAAAGUAGAACUUGAUGAGGUAACUGUACCUGCUCCCUUAUUGGAAAGUAGAUCAUCACAGAAAUCUGUUCCUGUGACUACUACACCAAUUAGUGAGGAAGCUAAUGAUGAUGAUCAUGUAACUUCAGAUCAAGUUACUAGCGAACCUCGUAGGUAAACCAGAGUGAGAUCCGUACCAGAGUGGUAUGGUAAUGCUGUUCUAGAGGUCAUGUUACUUGACCAUGAUGAGCUUAUGAACUAUGAGGAAGCGAUGAUGAGCCUAGAUUCCGCGAAAUGGCUUGAGGCCAUGAAAUCUGAGACGAGAUCCAUGUAUGAGAACAAAGUAUGGACUUUGAUUGACUUGCCAAUUGAUCGGCGAGUCAUUGAGAUUAAAUGGAUCUUCAAGAGGAAGACGGACGCUGAUAGUAGUGUUACUAUCUACAAAGCUAGAAUUGUCGCAAAAAGGUUUUCGACAAGUUCAAGGUGUUGACUAUGAUGAGAGUUUCUCACUCGUAUAUAUGCUUAAGUCUGUCCGAAUCAUGUUAGCAAUUGCCGCAUUUUAUGAAAUCUGGCAAAUGGAUAAACAAAACUGCAUUCUUUAAUGGAUUUAUUAAAGAAGAGUUGUAUAUGAUGCAACUAGAAGGUUUUUUCAAUCCUAAAGGUACUAACAAAAUAUGCAAGCUCUAGCGAUCCAUCUAUGGACUGGUGCAAGCAUCUUGGAGUUGGAAUAUACGCUUCGAUAAGUUGAUGAAAGCAUAUAGUUUUAUACAGACUUGCGGUGAAGCCUGUAUUUACAAGAAAGUGAGUGGGAGCACUACAGCAUUUCUGAUAAGUAUAUGUGAAUGACAUAUUGUUGAUCAGAGAUAAUGUAGAAUUAUUCUGCAAAGCAUAAAGGAAUGUUUGAAAGGAGUUUUUCAAAGAAAGACCUCGGUGAAGCUGCUUACAUAUUGAGCAUCAAGAUCUAUAGAGAUAGAUCAAGACGCUUGAUAAGUUUUUCAAUGAGUACAUACCUUGACAAGAUUUUGUAGUAGUUCAAAAUGGAACAGUCAAAGAAGGAGUUCUUGCCCGUGUUACAAAGGUGUGAAGUUGAGUAAGACUCAAAACCCGACCACGACAGAAGAUAGAAAGAGAAUGAAAGUCAUUCCCUAUGCCUCAGCCAUAGGUUCUAUAAAGUAUGCCAUGCUGUGUACCAGACCUAUUGUAUACCCUGCCCUGAGUUUGGCAAGGGAGUACAAUAGUGAUCUAGGAGUAGAUCACUGGACAUUGGUCAAAAUUAUCCUUAGUGGAAUAAGGAUAUGUUUCUCGAUUAUGAACGUGACACAAGGUUUGUCGUAAAGGGUUACGUCGAUGCAAGUUUUGGCACUGAUCCAGAUGACUCUAAGUCUCAAUCUGGAUACAUAUUGAAAGUGGGAGCAAUUAGCUAGAGUAGCUCCAUGCAGAGCAUUGUUGACAUAGAAAUUUGCAAAAUACUUACGGAUCUGAAUGUGGCAGACCCGUUGACUAAACUUCUCUCACAAGCAAAACAUGAUCACACCUCAGUACUCUUUGGGUGUUAAUCACAUAGCGAUGUGAACUAGAUUAUUGACUCUAGUAAACCCUUUGGGUGUUGGUCACAUGUCGAUGUGAACUAUGGGUGUUAAUCACAUGGUGAUGUGAACUAUUGAUGUUAAAUCACAUGGUGAUGUGAACUAGAUUAUUGACUCUAGUGCAAGUGGGAGACUGAAGGAAAUAUGCCCUAGAGGCAAUAAUAAAGUUAUUAUUUAUUUCCUUAUAUCAUGAUAAAUGUUUAUUAUUCAUGCUAGAAUUGUAUUACCCGGAUACGUAAUACUUGUGUGAAUACAUAGACAAACAAAGUGUCACUAGUAUGCCUCUACUUAACUAGCUCGUUAAUCGAAGAUGGUUAUGUUUCCUAACCAUAGACAUGAGUUGUCAUUUGAUUAACGGGAUCACAUCAUUAGGAGAAUGAUGUGAUUGACAUGACCCAUUCCAUUAGCUUAGCACCUGAUCGUUUAGUAUGUUGUUAUUGCUUUCUUCAUGACUUAUACAUGUUCCUAUGACUAUGAGAUUAUGCAACUCCCGUUUAUCGGUGGAACACUUUAUGUGCUACCAAACGUCACAACGUAACUGGAUGAUUAUAAAGGUGCUCUAAAAGUGUCUCCAAAGGUACAUGUUGGGUUGGCGUAUUUGGAGAUUAGGAUUUGUCGCUCCGAUUGUCGGAGAGGUAUCUCUGGGCCCUCUCGGUAAUACACAUCACUUAAGCCUUGCAAGCAAUGCAACUAAUAAGUUAGCUGCAAGAUGAUGUAUUACGGAACGAGAACAGAGACUUGCCGGUAACGAGAUUGAACUAGGUAUUGAGAUACCGACGAUCGAAUCUCGGGCAAGUAACAUACCGAUGACAAAGGGAACAACGUAUGUUGUUAUGCGGUCUGACCGAUAAAGAUCUUCGUAGAAUAUGUAGGAGCCAAUAUGAGCAUCCAGGUUCCGCUAUUGGUUAUUGACCGGAGACGUGUCUCAGUCAUGUCUACAUUGUUCUCGAACUCGUAGGGUCCGCACGCUUAAGGUUUCAAUGAUAGUUAUAUUAUGAGUUUAUGAGUUUUGAUGUACCGAAGGAGUUCGGAGUCCCGGAUGAGAUCGGGGACAUGAUGAGGAGUCUCGAAAUGGUCGAGACGUAAAGAUCGAUAUAUUGGAUGACUAUAUUUGGACACCGGAAAGGUUCCGGGUAAGAUUGGGACAAUACCGGAUCACCGGGAGGUUAUUGGAACCCCCCGGGAGGUACAUGGGCCUUAUUGGGCCUUAGUGGAAAGGAGGGGAAAGGAGCAAAGGAGGGGGCGCCCCCCCCCCCAAGCCCAAUCCGAAUUGGGAAGGGGGCCGGCCCCCCUUUCCUUCCUCCCUCCUUCCUCUUCCUUCCCUCUCCUACUCCUAAUAGGAAAAAGGGGAGUCCUACUCCCGGUGGGAGUUGGACUCCCCCCCCUUGGGCGCGCCACCCUCCUUGGCUGGCCCCCUCCUCCACUCCUUUAUAUACGGGGCAGGGGGGCACCCUAGAUACACAACAAUUGAUCAUUGAUCUCUUAGCCGUGUGCGGUGCCCCCCUCCACCAUAAUCCUCGAUAAUAUUGUAGCGGUGCUUAGGCGAAGCCCUGCGACGGUAGAACAUCAAGAUCAUCACCACGCCGUCGUGCUGACAUAACUCAUCCCCGACACUUUGCUGGAUCGGAGUCCGGGGAUCAUCAUCGAGCUGAACGUGUGCAAAAGCUCGGAGGUACCAUAGUUUCGGUGCUUGAUCGGUCGGGCCGUGAAGACGUAUGACUACAUCAACCGCGUUGUUAUAACGCUUCUGCUUUCGGUCUACGAGGGUACGUAGACAACACUCUCCCCUCUUGUUGCUAUGCAUCACCAUGAUCUUGCGCCCCGCCUCCGUCCUCCCCCGCGACGCCACCUCACCGGUGCCGCCCGGCCCCGAACGCCUCGUCCUCGCCGAACGCCUCGUACUCGCCGCCCCCUCCCGGCCUUCUUCCUCACCCUCCGGCAUCGCGCCCGUCUUCCUCGAGCCCCGGCACGACCUCGACGCCGCUGGACCCCGCCAUCGUCGGAGCUGCCUCGCGGAGCGGCCCUGCCGUCCUCCUCUUCGACUCCUCCUCGCCGGACCUCCUCCUCUACGUCGCCGUCAUCCCCGUCCUCCUCCCCAAAGGCUCCACCGAGCCUCACCGACCCUCUUCUCUGCAACGCCGGUGAGGCCACGGCCUCCCUCUCCUCUUCUCCCCUCUCUGUUGCACGUCACCGUGCCCGCACCCCGUUCGCCCCCGCUCGACCCAGCGCGCGCCCACACGCUCCCGUGCGCCCCCGCGCGCGCGACCCGCGCCAUCCAGCCGUAGCCACGACGCCCGUCGCCCUUGCUACCGACUCCCACCGCCGUCUCUGCCCUGCGGCUCCUGGCCGCGUCCGCCCGGGGCGCCGUCGUCGUCCGACGCCUCAUCCCACUCCCGCUACGUCAGCCGUCCACUGCGGCGAUCCUCUCAGCCAACCGCGCCGCCCUGCUCUGGUCGUCGGAGCCAGGCCGCACGCCCGCUGCCCCGCGGCGCCUCGUCGGGCUGGCGCUCGUCGCCCGACCCACCCGGCGCCCGUAACCGUGCGCCCGCUAAGGCACUUAGGCCAAUGACAUGUGGGGUCCCACACCCCACGCCCUAGAAUGUUUAAAAAAAACAUAAGAAAAAUAAUAUAUAAAAUAAAAUUAAUAAUAAUUGAAUUAUUUAAUUAAUUGUUUACUUAAUUAAUUAAUUUAAUUAAUCUUGUUUAGAUUAACCUAAUCAUUUAGUUAGACUAACUAAACUUGAUUAGUUAGUCUUAGCCUAUGGCAUGCAGGACCCACAUGUCAGGUUGACCAGUCAACUCUGUUGACUGCUGACGUCAGCAUGACCUCAUGCUGAUGUCAUUAAUCCAUUUUUCGAAUUAAUUUAAAUAAUUAAUUAAAUUCAAGAAAUUCAUAAAAUCUUUAGAAAAUCAUAACUUUUAAUCCGUAACUUGGAUUAAAUUAUUUUCAACAUGAAAGUUGCCCAAAACGACGAGACGAAUCCGGAUACGCAGUUCGUUCGUCCGCCACACACCCCUAACCUAUCGAACUCGCAAGUUUCUCCCUCCGGCUCCUCUGCCCGAAAACACGAAACACCGGGACUACUUUCCCGGGGGUUUUCCCCCCUUCACCGGUAUCACCUACUACCGCAUUAGGGCACACCGAACACCGCGUAUUGCCUUGAUAUAUUUUGUGGUGCCUUGUUUGCUCUGUAUUCAUUAUUUCUUCCUCCUCUUCUCUCAGGUAGACUACGAGACCGACGCUGCUGCUGACCAGUUCGACUACGGAGUUGACGACCCCUCUCUCUUGCCAGAGCAACCAGGCAAGCCCCCCCCCCUUUUGAUCACCAGAUAUCGCCUACUCUUCUCUAUACUGCUUGCAUUAGAGUAGUGUAGCAUGUUACUGCUUUCCGUUAAUCCUAUUAUGAUGCAUAGCCUGUCAUUGCUGCUACAGUCAUUGAUACCUUACCCGCAAUCCUAAAUGCUUAGUAUAGGAUGCUAGUGUUCCAUCAGUGACCCUACACUCUUGUCCGUCUGCCAUGCUAUACUACUGGGUUGUGAUCACUUCGGGAGGUGAUCACGGGCAUAUACUAUAUACUUUACACUGUUACAUUACCUGUGAUACUGUUCGGAGUUGGGGGCUGAAAGGACGGGUGGCUCCAUCCCGGUAGAGGUGGGCCUGAGUUCCCGACGGCCCCCGACUGUUACUUUGUGGCGGAGCGACAGGGCAGGUUGAGACCACCUAGGAGACAGGUGGGCCUGGCCUUGUUCGGCAUUCGCGGAUACUUAACACGCUUAACGAGAUCUUGGUAUUUGAUCUGAGUCUGGCUACUGGCCUAUACGCACUAACCAUCUACGCGGGAGUAGUUAUGGGUAUCCCGACGUCGUGGUAUCAGCCGAAGCACUUUAGACGUCAGCGACGGAGCGGCGCGUGCCGGAUUGGAACGUAAGCCUGCUCUUGUAUUAAGGGGGCUAGUUCUGCUUCCGGCCGCCCACGCAACAUGCAGGUGUGCUAUGGGCGAUGGGCCCAGACCCCUGUGCGCUUAGGUUUAGACCGGCGUGCUGGCCUCUCUGUUUUGCCUAGGUGGGGCUGCGACGUGUUGAUCUUCCGCGGCCGGGCAUGACCCAGGAAAGUGUGUCCGGCCAAAUGGGAUCAAGCGUGUUGGGUUAUGUGGUGCACCCCUGCAGGGAAGUUAAUCUAUUCGAAUAGCCGUGAUCUUCGGUAACAGGACGACUUGGAGUUGUACCUUGACCUUAUGACAACUAGAACCGGAUACUUAAUAAAACACACCCUUCCAAGUUCCACAGACAACCCGGUGAUCACUUUUCUACAGGGCGACGAGGAGAGGAUCGACGGGUAGGAUUAUGCUAUGCGAUGCUUCUUGGAGUUGCUACUUGGAGUUGCUACUUGGAGAUGCUACUUGGAGGACUUCAAUCUACUCUUUUCUACAUGCUGCAAGACGGAGGCUGCCAAAAGCGUAGUCUUCGACAGGAAUAGCUAUCCCCCUCUUAUUCUGGCAUUCUGCAGUUCAGUCCACCGAUAUGGCCCUUUACACAUAUACCCAUGCAUAUGUAGUGUAGCUCCUUGCUUGCGAGUACUUUGGAUGAGUACUCACGGUUGCUUUUCUCCCUCGUUUCCCCCUUUCCCUUCUACCUGGUUGUCGCAACCAGAUGCUGGAGCCCUGGAGCCAGACGCCACCGUCGACGACGACUACUACCCCGGAGGUGCCUACUACUACGUGCAGCCCGCUGACGACGACCAGGAGUAGUUUAGGAGGAUCCCAGGCAGGAGGCCUGCGCCUCUUUCGAUCUGUAUCCCAGUUUGUGCUAGCCUUCUUAAGGCAAACUUGUUUAACUUAUGUCUGUACUCAGAUAUUGUUGCUUCCGCUGACUCGUCUAUGAUCGAGCACUUGUAUUCGAGCCCUCGAGGCCCCUGGCUUGUAUUAUGAUGCUUGUAUGACUUAUUUUAUUUGUAGAAUUGUGUUGUGAUAUCUUCCCGUGAGUCCCUGAUCUUGAUCGUACACAUUUGCGUGCAUGAUUAGUGUACGAUUGAAUCGGGGGCGUCACAGGUAUCCAGGAGUUACACGCUCUCAUGGUCGAAGGAAGAGAUACUUGACAUUGGCAAAGCUCUAGCAAUUGAACUACACGAUCUUUGUGCUAGGCUUAGGAUUGGGUCUUGUCCAUCACAUGAUUCUCCUAAUGAUGUGAUCCCGUUAUCAACGACAUCCAAUGUCCAUGGUUAGGAAACCGUAACCAUCUGUUGAUCAACGAGCUAGUCAACUAGAGGCUUGCCAGGGACAUGGUGUUGUCUAUGUAUUCACACGUGUAUUACGAUUUCCGGAUAAUACAGUUAUAGCAUGAAUAAAAGACUAUUAUCAUGAACAAAGAAACAUAAUAAUAACACUUUUAUUAUUGCCUCUAGGGCAUAUUUCCAACAGCUUGCACCAGUCCAUAAAUGGAUCGCUGGAGCUUGCACACUUUGUUAGCUCCUUUUGGAUCGACAAAACCUUCCGGCUGCAUCAUAUACAACUCUUCUUCCAGAAAUCCAUUCAGGAAUGCAGUUUUGACAUCCAUUUGCUGGAUUUCAUAAAAUGCGGCAAUUGCUAACAUGAUUCGGACAGACUUAAGCAUAGAUACGAGUGAGAAACUCUCAUCAUAGUCAACACCUUGAACUUGUCGAAAACCUUUUUGCGACAAUUCUAGCUUUGUAGAUAGUAACACUACUAUCAGCGUCCGUCUUCCUCUUGAAGAUCCAUUUAAUCUCAAUGGCUCGCCGAUCAUUGGGCAAGUCAAUCAAAGUCCAUACUUUGUUCUCAUACAUGGAUCUCAUCUCAGAUUUCAUGGCCUCAAGCCAUUUCGCGGAAUCUAGGCUCAUCAUCGCUUCCUCGUAGUUCACAAGUUCGUCAUGGUCUAGUAACAUGACUUCCAGAACAGGAUUACCGUACCACUUUGGUGCGGAUCUCACUCUGGUUUACCUACGAGAUUCGGCAUUAACUUGAUCUGAAGUUACAUGAUCAUCAUCAUUAGUCUUCCUCACUAAUUGGUGUAGUAGUCACAGGAACAGAUUUCUUGUGAUGAACUACUUUUCAAUAAGGGAGAAGGUACAAUUACCUUAUCAAGUUCUACUUUCCUUCCACUCACUUCUUUCAAGAGAAACUCCUUCUCUAGAAAGGAUCCAUUCUUAGCAACGAAUGUCUUGCCUUCGGAUCUGUGAUAGAAGGUGUACCCAAUAGUCUCCUUUGGGUAUCCUAUGAAGACAUAUUUCUCCGAUUUGGGUUUGAGCUUAUCAGGAUGAAACUUUUUCAUAUAAGCAUCACAAUCCCAAACUUUAAGAAACGACAACUUUGGUUUCUUACCAAACCACAGUUCAGAUUGUGUCGUCUCAACGGACUUAGAUGGUGCCCUUUUAAACGUGAAUGCAGCUGUCUUUAAUGCAUAACCCCAAAACGAUAGUGGUAGAUCGGUAAGAGACAUCAUAGAUCGCACCAUAUCUAAUAAAUUACGGUUAUGAUGUUCGGACACACCAUUAUGCUGUGGUGUUCCAGGUGGCGUGAGUAGUGAAACUAUUUCACAUUGUUUUAACUUAAGGCCAGACUCGUAACUCAAAUAUUUUACCUCUGCGAUCAUAUCGUAGAAACUUUUAUUUUCUUGUUACGAUGAUUCUCCACUUCACUCUGAAAUUCUUUGAACUUUUCAAAUAUUUCAGACUUGUGUUUCAUUAAGUAGAUAUACCCAUAUCUGCUCAAAUCAUCUGUGAAGGUCAGAAAAUAAUGAUACCCGCCACGAGCCUUAACACUCAUUGGAUCUCAUACAUCAGUAUAUAUUAUUUCCAAUAAGUCAGUUGCUCGCUCCAUAGUUCUGGAGAACGGCAUUUUAGUCAUCUUGCCCAUGAGGCAUGGUUCGCAAGCAUCAACUGAUUCAUAAUCAAGUGAUUCCAAAAACCCAUUAGCAUGGAGUUUCUUCAUGCGCUUUACACCAAUAUGACCUAAACGGCAGUGCCACAAAUAAGUUGCGCUAUCAUUAUUAACUUUGCAUCUUUUGGUUUCAAUAUUAUGAUUAUGUGUAUCACUACGAUCGAGAUCCAACGAACUAUUUUCAUUGGGUGUGUAACCAUAUAAGGUUUUAUUCAUGUAAACAGAACAACAAUUUAUUCUCUUAUUUAAAUGAAUAACCGUAUUACAAUAAACAUGAUCAAAUCAUAUUCAUGCUCAACGCAAACACCAAAUAACACUUAUUCAGGUUCAACACUAAUCCCGAAAGUAUAGGGACUGUGCGAUGAAGAUCAUAUCAAUCUUGGAACCACUUCCAACACACAUCGUCACUUCACCCUUAACUAGUCUAUAUUUAUUCUGCAACUCCCGUUUCGAGUUACUAAUCUUAGUAACUGAACAGUAUCAAAUACUGAGGGGUUGCUAUAAACACUAGUAAAGUACACAUCAAUAACAUGUAUAUCAAAUAUACUUAUGUUCACUUUGUCAUCCUUCUUAUCUGCCAAUCACUUGGGGUAGUUCCGCUUCCAGUGACCAGUCCCUUUGCAGUAGAAACACUUAGUCUCAGGCUUAGGACCAGACUUGGGCUUCUUCACUUGAGCAGCAACUUGCUUGCUAUUCUUUUUGAAGUUCCCCUUCUUCCCUCUGCCCUUUUCUUGAAACUAGUGGUCUUGUCUACCAUCAACACUUGAUGUUUUUCUCGAUUUCUACCUUCGUCAAUUUCCGCAUUAUGAAGAGCUUGGGAAUCGUUUCCAUUAUCCCUUGCAUAUCAUAGUUCAUCACGAAGUUCUACUAACUUGGUGAUGGUGACUAGAGAAUUCUGUCAAUCACUAUCUUAUCUGGAAGAUUAACUCCCACUUGAUUCAAGCGAUUGUAGUACUCAGACAAUCUGAGCACAUGCUCACUAGUUGAGCGAUUCUCCUCCAUCUUUUAGCUAUAGAACUUGUUGGAGACUUCAUAUCUCUCAAAUCGGGUAUUUGCUUGAAAUAUUAACUUCAACUCCUGGAACAUCUCAUAUGCUCCAUGACGUUCAAAACGUCUUUGAAGUACCGAUUCUAAGCCAUUAAGCAUGGUGCACUAAACUAUCAAGUAGUCAUCAUAUUGAGCUAGCCAAACGUUCAUAACGUUUGCAUCUGCUCCUGCAAUAGGUCUGUCACCUAGCGGUGCAUCAAGGACAUAAUUCUUCUAUGCAGCAAUGAGGAUAAACCUCAGAUCACGGAUCCAAUCCGCAUCAUUGCUACUAACAUCUUUCAACACAAUUUUCUCUAGGAACAUAUCAAAAUAAACACAGGGAAGCAACAAUGCGAGCUAUUGAUCUACAACAUGAUUUGCAAAAUACUACCAGAACUAAGAUCAUGAUAAAUUUAAGUUCAAUUUAAUCAUAUUACUUAAGAACUCCCACUUAGAUAGACAUCCCUCUAAUCCUCUAAGUGAUCACGUGAUCCAAAUCAACUAAACUAUGUCCGAUCAUCACGUGAGAUGGAGUAGUUUCAUUGGUGAACAUCACUAUGUUGAUCAUAUCUACUAUAUGAUUCACGCUCGACCUUUCGGUCUCCGUGUUCCGAGGCCAUAUCUGUAUAUGCUUGGCUCGUCAAGUAUAACCUGAGUAUUCUGCGUGUGCAACUGUUUUGCACCCGUUGUAUUUGAACAUAGAGCCUAUCACACCCGAUCAUCACGUGGUGUCUCAGCACGAAGAACUUUUGCAACGGUGCAUACUCAGGGAGAACACUUCUUGAUAAUUAUCGAGAGAUCAUCUUAAAAUGCUACCGUCAAUCAAAGCAAGAUAAGAUGCAUAAAAGAUAAACAUCACAUGCAAUCAAUAUAAGUGAUAUGAUAUGGCCAUCAUCAUCUUGUGCUUGUGAUCUCCAUCUUUGAAGCACCGUCGUGAUCACCAUCGUCACCGGCGCGACACCUUGAUCACCAUCGUAGCAUCGUUGUCGUCUCGCCAAUCUUAUGCUUCCACGACUAUCGCUACCGCUUAGUGAUAAAGUAAAGCAUUACAGCGCAAUUGCAUUGCAUACAAUAAAGCGACAACCAUAUGGCUCCUGCCAGUUGCCGAUAACUUGGUUACAAAACAUGAUCAUCUCAUACAAAAAAAUUUAGCAUCAUGUCUUGACCAUAUCACAUCACAACAUGCCCUGCAAAAACAAGUUAGACGUCCUCUACUUUGUUGUUGCAAGUUUUACGUGGCUGCUACGGGCUUAAGCAAGAACCAAUCUUACCUACGCAUCAAAACCACAACGAUAGUUUGUCAAGUUGGUGCUGUUUUAACCUUCACAAGGACCGGGCGUAGCCACACUCGGUUCAACUAAAGUUAGAGAAACUGUCACCCGCUAGCCACCUUUGUGCAAAGCACGUCGGGAGAACCGGUCUCGCGUAAGCGUACACGUAAUGUCGGUCCGGGCCGCUUCGUCCAACAAUACCGCCGAACCAAAGUAUGACAUGCUGGUAAGCAGUAUGACUUAUAUCGCCCACAACUCACUUGUGUUCUACUCGUGCAUAUAACAUCAACACAUAAAACCUAGGCUCGGAUGCCACUGUUGGGAAACGUAGUAAUUUCAAAAAAAUUCCUAUGCACACGCAAGAUCAUGGUGAUGCAUAGCAACGAGAGGGGAGAGUGUGAUCUACGUACCCUUGUAGAUCGACAGCGGAAGCGUUAGCACAACGCGGUUGAUGUAGUAGUACGUCUUCACGGCCCGACCGAUCAAGCACCGAAACUACGGCACCUCCGAGUUCUAGCACACGUUCAGCUCGAUGACGAUCCCCGGACUCCGAUCCAGCAAAGUGUCGGGAAAGAGUUCCGUCAGCACGACGGCUUGAUGACGAUCUUGAUGUACUACCGUCGCAGAGCUUCGCCUAAGCACCGCUACAAUAUUAUCGAGGAUUAUGGUGGAAGGGGGCACCGCACACGGCUAAGAAUAUGAUCACGUGGAUCAACUUGUGUCUAGAGGUGCCCCCCUGCCCCGUAUAUAAAGGAGCAAGGGAGGAGGAGGCCGGCCCUAGGAGGGGGCGCGCCAAGUGUGGAGUCCUACUAGGACUCCCUAGUCCUAGUAGGAUUCCACCUCCCAUAUGGAAUAGGAAAAGAGGAAGGGAAAAGGAGAAGGAAGGAAGGGGGCGCCCCCCUUCCCUAGUCCAAUUCGGACUAGACCAAGGGGAGGGGUGCGGCCACCCUUGAGGCCCUUUUUCUUCUUUCCCGUAUGGCCUAAUAAGGCCCAAUACGUAUUCCCGUAACUCUCCGGUACUCCGAAAAAUACCCGAAUCACUCGGAACCUUUCCGAUGUCCGAAUAUAGUCGUCUAAUAUAUCGAUCUUUACGUCUCGACCAUUUCGAGACUCCUCGUCAUGUCCUCGAUCUCAUCCGGGACUCCGAACUCCUUCGGUACAUCGAAACUCAUAAACUCAUAAUAUAACUAUCAUCGAAACCUUAAGCGUGCGGAUCCUGCGGGUUCGAGAACAAUGUAGACAUGACCGAGACAUGUCUCCGGUCAAUAACCAAUAGCGGAACCUGGAUGCUCAUAUUGGCUCCCACAUAUUCUACGAAGAUCUUUAUCGGUCAGACCGCAUAACAACAUACGUUGUUCCCUUUGUCAUCGGUAUGUUACUUGCCCGAGAUUCGAUUAUCGGUAUCUUAAUACCUAGUUCAAUCUCGUUAUCGGCAAGUCUCUUUACUCGUUUCGUAAUACAUCAUCUCGCAACUAACUCAUUAGUUGCAAUGCUUGCAAGGCUUAUGUGAUGUGCAUUACCGAGAGGGCCCAGAGAUACCUCUCCGACAAUCGGAGUGACAAAUCCUAAUCUCGAAAUACGCCAACCCAACAUGUACCUUUGGAGACACCUGUAGAGCUCCUUUAUAAUCACCCAGUUACGUUGUGACGUUUGGUAGCACACAAAGUGUUCCUCCGGCAAACGGGAGUUGCAUAAUCUCAUAGUCAUAGGAACAUGUAUAAGUCAUGAAGAAAGCAAUAGCAACAUACUAAAUGAUCGGGUGCUAAGCUAAUGGAAUGAGUCAUGUCAAUCACAUCAUUCUCCUAAUGAUGUGAUCCUGUUAAUCACAUCAUUUCCCUCCGCAUCCCCGCCCGGGCGUCACAAGGCAAGACAAGAAUUCGAAUCCUCCAGAUCUCGAUUCCCAUUCCAGCGCCAGCGAGGCCAAACAAAAGCAGCCCACCAAACAGUAAACAACAAACCAAGCAAGGCACCCGCUCCCCUGUCCCUCACGCCGGCCGCGCCGUCUCCCUCCCUCCCUCCCCCACCCCAUCCAAAAAUCCCCAACCCCUCCCCCCAUGUCGUCGCGCCGCCCGCCGGCGGACCGCGCGGCCGAGGCGGGGGACGCGGCCNNNNNNNNNNNNNNNNNNNNNNNNNNNNNNNNNNNNNNNNNNNNNNNNNNNNNNNNNNNNNNNNNNNNNNNNNNNNNNNNNNNNNNNNNNNNNNNNNNNNNNNNNNNNNNNNNNNNNNNNNNNNNNNNNNNNNNNNNNNNNNNNNNNNNNNNNNNNNNNNNNNNNNNNNNNNNNNNNNNNNNNNNNNNNNNNNNNNNNNNNNNNNNNNNNNNNNNNNNNNNNNNNNNNNNNNNNNNNNNNNNNNNNNNNNNNNNNNNNNNNNNNNNNNNNNNNNNNNNNNNNNNNNNNNNNNNNNNNNNNNNNNNNNNNNNNNNNNNNNNNNNNNNNNNNCCCUCUCCCUCGACCCCUCGCGCCGCCGCCGCUCCCUCCCGCUCCCCGCCGCCCCAUCUGCCGCCGCCGACCAGGCCCGCCACAAGCCCAAGCUCAAGCCCUCCUCCUCCACCCGCAAGCUCCUGCCCUCCGCCUCCUACUCCUCCUCGGUCUCCACCUCCUCCUCCUCCUCAUCCUCGUCCUUCUGGAAGAAGUCGUUGACGGCCAUCUCGCACCUGGGCAGGCGCCGCCUUGACUGCGCCUUCACCCUGCAGGUGCACUCCGUCGACGGCCUCCCCACCGCGCUCGACGGCUCCCCGAUCUCCGUCCACUUCCGCCGGAUGUCCGCCUGCGCCUCCACCCGCCCCGUCGCGCCGGCCCUCGGCGCCGUCGCCUUCGAGGAGCCGCUCACGCAGCGCUCGCCCGUCUACUUCUCCCGCGGGGCCAAGAACGCGGUCAAGUACGAGCCGCGGGCCUUCGUCGUCACCGUCGCCGCCUCGGCGCUCGAGCUCGGCAAGCACGAGGUCGACCUCACCCGUUUGCUGCCGCUCUCCAUCGACGACCUCGAGGAGGGCGGCGACUCCGGAUUUGGGAAGUGGAGCACCAGCUUCCGGCUCUCUGGCGUUGCCCGCGGCGCGCGGCUCAAUGUCACCUUCUCCUGCGUGCUCGUGGGCGGAGGUGGGGAGCAGCACAAGGGAGGGGAAGUGGCGGGGCUGAGACGGGGCUCCAUGGCGCGGCAGGUGUCAGUGCAGUCCCCGUCACCAGUGCCGGCACGGAGCCGGGACGUGAGGGUGCUCCACGAGGUUUUGCCAAACACGAGGCCUGUAAAGGCCUUGCCCUUUGUUGGUGAUGCCGGUCUUGAUGCUACCAAGGGUGAGACGGCAACAGUAGAAUGCGAGGAGGAUGGUUCACCGCAGUCAAAGCAUUGCACCUCAGUAGAGAUGAGGAAGGGAGAGGGGGACUUGGUGCACCCAGAGGGUGAUUGUCAUGGUUCAGAGUUCAAUGUGGUUGAGCAGGGAGUUGAGGUCACCCUCGAGGAUCCAGACCAGUUCAAACAUGUCGAGACUGCCAAUGUGAAUGAUCAAGAUGAGGGCUUUAGUGGUGAAGCUAAUGAAGAGGGAACGGCCAAGCCUGCAUUAUUAAUUGAAGAUCUUGCUAAAGAGGGAACUGUUGAAGUGAAGUUGGAAGAGGAGCUCAAUGAUGUUGCUCUUGAAAUGGACGAUGUAGGAGACAAGCAGGAUGCAUCGGUCGAAGCGGCCUUGCUUCCUACUGCCGCAUUUGAAAAAGAUGGUGAGCUGGCAGCAGAUGCAGAACUGGAGGUUCUGGAGGGUAUAUUCAACAAAUUCUCAAUUGUUGAGCCAGAGGAAUUUGACUCACCAAUUGUGGAAGAUAAGCAUUCUAGGCGAUUGAGCUGCAUUGGUGCGGGAGAUAGUUGCAAUUCCGCCAGUAAGAUGAGCAGAUCACGCAGCAUGGAUGCUUCAUCCGAUUUUGUUGCUAAUGAGUUUUUGGAUAUGCUUGGGAUAGCACAUAGCCCAUUUGGGGUAACCUCAGAUAGUGAUCCCGAGUCACCAAGAGAGCGGCUUUGGAAGCAGUUUGAAAAGGAAGCUCUAGAAUCUGGGGACUGUAUUCUUGGUUUGGAUUUCGAAGAUGAGGUGGAAGAACCUAGUUGUGAAGAUGUUGCAGAGGAUUUCGAUCUCUCCACAAUCAUACGCGAGGCUGAACUUGAGCUGCAGAAUGUAGUUCCGCCCAUAGACACCACAUUUAGAGCCAAGUCACUGGAAGACGAGGAAACUGAAGCUUUGAUGCGUCAAUUUGGGCUAAAUGAGAAGUCCUUCCAGUCUUCUCCACCUGGGAGUAGAAGUGGGUUUGGUAGCCCCAUUGCCCUCCCACCUGAGCAGCCCCUUGAAUUGCCACCUUUGGCUGAUGGUUUGGGCCCAUUUAUUCAGACAGAGGAUGGUGGAUUUCUGCGGUCGAUGAAUCCAGUUCUUUUCAAGAAUGCAAAGAACAAUUGUAGCUUGGUCAUGCAGGCUUCUUCUCCAAUCGUACUGCCAGCAGAAAUGGGCUCUGGAAUUAUGGAGAUAUUGCAUGGUCUAGCUUCAGUUGGAAUCGAAAAGCUAUCAAUGCAAGCAAACAAACUUAUGCCCUUAGAAGAUGUCAAUGGCAAAAUGAUGCAGCAGCUUGCAUGGGAGGCUUCUCCUGCUCUAGAGUCUUCAGGAAGGUUAGAAAUCUUUCUUUUCCUGCUUGUUCAUGACGUCUUAAUACUUCAUCAUUUGCCCUGGCUAAAAUAUAUUACUCUAACCAAUGCAGAUAUGACCUACUGGAGAAUCAUAGUUUUGAUGCGUUGGCAGCAGGGGCCAGCAAUGCUGCUUUGGGAAAGAAGAAGAAGAAAGAAAGAGGUGCUGAUCUGUCAUCAUCAUUGGGUGCGACAAGUGCUUCAGAAUAUGUUUCACUUGAGGAUCUUGCUCCAUUAGCUAUGGAAAAGAUUGAAGCCCUUUCUAUUGAGGGUCUGAGGAUACAGUCUGGCAUGUCCGAAGAAGAGGCACCAUCCAAUAUCAGUGCCCACCCUAUUGGAGAAAUUUCAUCUCUACAAGGAAAGUCCGCAGAGAAUACUUUGUCACUUGGUUUGGAAGGAACUGCAGGAUUGCAGCUUCUGGAUGUUAAACAAGCUGGUGGUGAUGUUGAUGGAUUAAUGGGCUUAUCGAUCACUCUAGAUGAGUGGAUGAGGCUUGAUUCCGGAGUAGUGGAUGAAGAGGAGCAGUUCAGUGACCGUACAUCGAAAAUACUUGCUGCCCACCAUGCCAAACCAACGGACCUACUUGGUGAAGGCCAGACUGCAGACAAAAAGAGCAGGAGAUCUGGUAGAAGAUGGGGUUUGUUGGGGAACAACUUCACAGUUGCUCUCAUGGUUCAAUUGCGUGACCCGCUACGUAACUACGAGCCAGUUGGCACACCGAUGCUUUCUUUGAUUCAAGUUGAGAGGGUUUUUAUUCCCCCAAAGCCCAAGAUAUACAGCACCGUUUCAGAGAAAGGUAACAGUGAGCAAGAUUAUGAGGAGCCCAAUCCUGAGCAGGUUCUUGAUAAAGUAUCGGUCGAUGAAGAAAAGAUAGAGGAAGACUCUGUUCCCCAAUUUAAAGUCACAGAAGUGCAUGUGGCCGGUUUUAAGAGUGAGCCCGAGAAGACAAAACCGUGGGGUAAUCAAACACAGCAGCAAUCUGGUUCGAGAUGGCUGCUAGGAGCUGGCAUGGGCAAGGGCAGCAAGCAUCCUCUGAUGAAAUCGAAAGCCACUGCAAAGGCCACGAAAGACGCAGCUGUUCAGCAAGGAGACACCCUGUGGAGCAUUUCUUCACGUGUUCAUGGAGCAGGGACAAGAUGGGGCGAGUUAACAGGAUCUAAGCGGAACCCUAAUAUCCUCCUCCAGAAGGAUAAGAGAUUCCGGUGAGAGCUUUACCGAUUCUAGGUAGGUACUGGUAGUUCUUGUGUGCCUUUGGGGUGGUGGGUUUGGGCCUUUGGGGUGGUUCGCCUGUGUAACCGAACCUAGCCUGAAAUUAAUGUUCCUACUCCCAUCCAUAUUAAUAGACGCACGCUUGUGCGUCAAUUAAUUUGGAUCGGAGGGAGUACUAAAGUGCCAAAUCAUGUAAAUCCAGUUCUUUUCUCGCGAUGCAUAUGGAAUCGUCUCGUACCAGCCCCUUUUCUUAUGUGCUUCGAGCGGGCUUGUGUUCUGUAGAGCUCCCCUGCGCCUUUUUUUUUAAACGGAGGCAAAAGAUUUGCCUCAUCGAUUAAUUAAGCAGAAGAGAAUUGCCCAGCUAAUUAACGGAAAACCGGGCAAAAACCGAUACAAAUCAACCACAUGUGGACUACUCACUCGACAACCAUAUCCAACACGUAAAGACCAUCAACCCCACACUGCUACAUCGCAAAGACACCCCAAACGAGGCUAACUUGGCUAGCGACCACGGACACCACCAAAUCCACAAAGACACCCAAACGAGGCUAACUUGGCUAGCGACCACGGACACCACCAAAUCCACAAAGACAAUGCAGGCCAUAAGGACAACGCAAGAGACUGAAGAUCAUCCAUUAAGCAGCCGCGGACGCCUUUUUUGUGGCGUCACUCUUCUUUCCUUUGCUCCUAAGAGCCUCCACCACAAUCGCCUUGCCAGAUCCAGGGCUAGCCGCCUCCAAACGUUUAAGCAAGCUAUGAAGCUCUAUCUGAAAGAGAAUGUCAUCGACCUUCUCACGCGCAGAGACCUGCCUGACAGUCACGUGCGAGUGGGUUACCGCAACAUCAGAACCUUCAUCCUCCACAAAGGCGAGCGGCUGGCUAGGCUCCAAAGGAUCAGAAGCCAACAUAUUAAUCGUCUAAACAUCAUCAACCACAGAAGCAACCGACACGAUGGACUCAGACAUCUCCAGUUGCUCACAUGAUAGAGCAUCAGAGUUAGGCGCCAACACACCUGUCUCAUCAACCUCGUCACUCAAGGACACCUCAUGCCCAAUGGGCAUAGAUGAGAGAGUGACAGAACCAUCCAAACAUCCACUAUCCACAAAGGCGAGCGACUGGCAGGACUCUGACGGUGAUGGUGAGGCCAAGGACUCCAAUGAGCCCGGCUUCAUCGGCUGCACCAUAGCUGAUUCCCCACAAAGCUCCUGCAGCUCAGGCAUAAUCUGCAGAACAGGAGCCACGACCUCGGUGAUGACCACACCGCCAUGGACAGACGACGUCCCAUCCACAGCACAAGGAGAAAAUUCUCCAAAGAAGCAUUCAUCCACCUCAUCAGUGGAACCAGACUGGAGCUCAGGCACCAAAGGCACAACCGAAGCAACCUGAAGCUUGGCAAGAGCGUCGCGAAGCUCAGUGCGGAGGAGCUCAACCUCCUAAAGGAGCUCCGUACGUAGCAAAGCAAACUGGGACUCCAAAGCAGAGACCAAAAAGGCACUAACAUUGGAAUCCUGGCGACACCUAGAUUGGGACCUUGGCGGCACCGACACAUGCAGCGACGAGUUGCUCACGACCUCUGCCCAACACCUGGUUAGCGAAGAACAAGGCUGGACAAAUGGGGAGCGGCUCCGCUGGUGAUGAGCUUGAGAGACCGGAGAGCUCACGCGGGCGACCGAAGAGCGAUCCCGAGCAACCGGAGAGUGAGCACGACAAAACCUCUCACGAUGACCAGGGCGACGACAGCGUAUGCAUCUGAAUGGAUCAUGACAUGCACGGACUUGAUGGCCACGCUCGAGGCAACGAAAGCACCUUCCUCGAGCCCAACGCUUGAAGGCGAGGCUACGCUCAAGACCUUCUCUCGACGGCACAGGGGGAGCACCCCGGCCGGAACGGUGUCCCCGUUCCACAUGCUCCCAGCCAGCCUCCGCUUCAAGAGCAGCAGUGGCAGCAGAGAUGCCGAUGCAAGCCGACUCUGAAGAUGGACCAAGCAGCUUCUGUGGUGUCUUCUCGUCAUCACAUCCUUCAGUGAGGCCCUCAAUAUCUUCCACAUCCUUCACAACAGAGCAACCAAGCUGGAGAUGUGCAUCGCCGGCAGACCCGUCGGGCAACGGCUGUGGAACCAACUCCUCAGUCUGGACCUCAUCAUCAUUGACAGCGCACCAGGAAGCAGGCCUGGAGUCGAGCACCACCACCAAGCCAACGCCGGGUGCAGGGACUCGGCCCGCCUGAGGUGGCGAAGGUAGCGUUGGGGCCGCCGCCAGAUCCGAUAGAACAAGGAGAGCCUCGGGGAUCAAAGCCUGGGACUCCAGCAACUGACCGGAAGCGCCGCCAGAGACGGAGGGCUGCCGGGUGGCCACCGACCCGAGCAGGGGAGGAGACUCGCGGGGAACCCGCGCACGCCCCCCAUUCUCCGCUCUGAACCUGCUCGCGGGUGCAGGCUGCCGCGAGCUACGGGGGACGCGCGGAUCCGUGAGGGAGGCCGACGGGGCCGGAGCGGCGGCCGCCGCAGGGGGCUGGUGGGGCGGAGGGCCGUUGUCGCCAGAGCGUUCCAAUGCAGACAUGGCUGCUCCCACGGGCUGGGAGAGAGGAGCCAUGGCGUCCAGCGGAGCUUCGCGGGGGAGAAGAGAGAGAGCGCUGAGGAGAUUCCAGAUCCGGUGCCGACGGCCGCAGGGGAGGCUGCGGGGAGGAGAUCAAGGCAGCGCCACCGGCGCGCUCACCCGACGCAGCCGCGGGCGCGAGAGCCUCAAUAACUCCUACUUACAUAUCCCCCCUCCCCCUGCGCCUUUUUCCUUUUUCUUUUUAGAGCUCCCCUGCGCUUUUUUUUUUGAAAACUACUUGGUGCACUUUAUUAAACUCAUAUCAAAGUUACAUCAUCCACAAUGUCCGAAAGUAAAAAGCUGGGAGGAUCACCAUCCCAAACAAAAGUAGAAUUUAAAUUGCAACUAUGUCUAGCAAGAUUGUGCGCCAAUCUAUUAGCCUCCCUAGGGCAAUGAGUGAAGGAUACCGCACCAAUACGGUAUGCUUUUUGAAAACAAUCAGCCAAAAUAGCAGUAUAGGGGCUCCAAAUCUCAAUCACGCCAUUGCAUGCUUGAAUAACUUCCAAUGAGUCAGAUUCAACAAUGACCUGGUGACAGCCGAGUCCUUCAACCAACUCUAGUCCUCGCUGAAUAGCUACUGCUUCCGCCGUUGUUGCAUCAAGGAGAUGAUGAAGCAACCAGGAUGCUCCCGCAAGAGCCUCUCCUCGGUUGUUUCGAAGAAUUGCUGCAGCUGCACCCGUUCCAUCUUCAAGGAGCUCCCCUGCGCUUAAUUGUACUGAGAGCUAGGGUACAAAUGUCAAAAGCGUUUUUCUGCCCACGAAGGUACAAUUUUAUGUCUUGUGGUGUAGUGUGACUGAAGCUGUUCAAAAAUUUGUUUUUUCAUCCCUUUUUUUUUUGUUCUGUCUGUCAUCAAUCAUGGCAGUGAUCGUCAUGUGUACAAUCAUGUGCGUCGCUAUAAUCUCGACGCAUUGUCAUGUUCAUGGAGCAUUGACAGUGAUGUUGC